rnacentral:lncRNA from 1 species
AGGAGGAAGCUGUAUGGGCGUUCUGCUUCCAGGAGGUACCAUGGGAGAAGCCGAAGCCGAAGCCCCCCACCACAAAGGAGGGGUCAUCGUGACCGUGAUGACUACCAUCACCGUGACCGUGAUGAUUACCGUGGCGGCGGUGGCGGUGGACGGGGAAGAGGUAGCAGGCAUGACAGGUAUGAUGAUGGAGCAGGCAGAGGCGGCAGGCAUGACAGGUAUGAUGAUGGAGCAGGCAGAGGUGGC